rnacentral:rRNA from 1 species
AGCGUAGGCGGUUUUGCAAGUCAGAAGUGAAAGGCUACGGCUCAACCGUGGUAAGCUUUUGAAACUGCAAGACUAGAGUGCAGGAGAGGCAAGUGGAAUUCCUAGUGUAGAGGUGAAAUUCGUAGAUAUUAGGAGGAACACCAGUGGCGAAGGCGACUUGCUGGACUGUAACUGACGCUGAGGCUCGAAAGCGUGGGAGCGAACA